rnacentral:rRNA from 1 species
UAAUACUGGAUAGGCAAUUAUUCCUGUAAUGGUUUUUUGUUUAAAUGUUUUUUCGCCUAAGGAUGGGUCUGCGGCCGAUUAGGUAGUUGGUUAGGUAAUGGCUUACCAAGCCUUUGAUCGGUACGGGUUGUGAGAGCAAGAGCCCGGAGAUGGAACCUGAGACAAGGUUCCAGGCCCUACGGGGUGCAGCAGGCGCGAAACCUCCGCAAUGUGAGAAAUCGCGACGGGGGGAUCCCAAGUGUCAUUCUUAACGGGAUGGCUUUUCUUUAGUGUAAGAAGCUUUUGGAAUAAGAGCUGGGCAAGACCGGUGCCAGCCGCCGCGGUAACACCGGCAGCUCUAGUGGUAGCAAUUUUUAUUGGGCCUAAAGCGUCCGUAGCCGGUUUAAUAAGUCUCUGGUGAAAUCCUGUAGCUUAACUGUGGGAAUUGCUGGAGAUACUAUUAGACUUGAGACCGGGAGAGGUUAGAGGUACUCCCAGGGUAGAGGUGAAAUUCUGUAAUCCUGGGAGGACCGCCUGUUGCGAAGGCGUCUAACUGGAACGGUUCUGACGGUGAGGGACGAAAGUUAGGGGCGCGAACCGGAUUAGAUACCCGGGUAGUCCUAACUGUAAACGAUGCGGACUUGGUGUUG